GUGCCCUUGGUGUAUGGUAGCACACGUCUUACGUCUUGAUGGUAAACAAAGCAGAAUUCAAGACAAACCCGGGGUUCGAUUCCCCGAGGGUGCA